AGUGAACGCUGGCGGCAGGCCUAAUACAUGCAAGUCGAACGGCAGCACAGCAGAGCUUGCUCUGUGGGUGGCGAGUGGCGGACGGGUGAGGAAUACAUGGGAAUCUGCCCAGUCGUGGGGGAUAACGUAGGGAAACUUACGCUAAUACCGCAUGCGCCCUUCGGGGGAAAGCCGGGGACCUUCGGGCCUGGCGCGAUUGGAUGAGCCCAUGUCGGAUUAGCUAGUUGGCGGGGUAAUGGCCCACCAAGGCGACGAUCCGUAGCUGGUCUGAGAGGAUGAUCAGCCACACUGGAACUGAGACACGGUCCAGACUCCUACGGGAGGCAGCAGUAGGGAAUAUUGGACAAUGGGCGCAAGCCUGAUCCAGCCAUGCCGCGUGAGUGAAGAAGGCCCUCGGGUUGUAAAGCUCUUUUGUCCGGAAAGAAAAGCGCCGGGUUAAUACCCUGGUGUCCUGACGGUACCGGAAGAAUAAGCACCGGCUAACUUCGUGCCAGCACG
rnacentral:rRNA from 1 species